GAUGAACGCUGGCGGCGUGCCUAAUACAUGCAAGUCGAACGCUGAAGGAGGAGCUUGCCCUUCUGGAUGAGUUGCGAACGGGUGAGUAACGCGUAGGUAACCUGCCUGGUAGCGGGGGAUAACUAUUGGAAACGAUAGCUAAUACCGCAUGACAACAGUUAUUGCAUGAUAACUGUUUAAAAGGGGCAACUGCUCCACUACCAGAUGGACCUGCGUUGUAUUAGCUAGUUGGUGAGGUAACGGCUCACCAAGGCGACGAUACAUAGCCGACCUGAGAGGGGGAUCGGCCACACUGGGACUGAGACACGGCCCAGACUCCUACGGGAGGCAGCAGUAGGGAAUCUUCGGCAAGGGACGGAAGUCUGACCGAGCAACGCCGCGUGAGUGAAGAAGGUUGUCGGAUCGUAAAGCUCUGUUGUAAGAGAAGAACGAGUGUGAGAGUGGAAAGUUCACACUGUGACGGUAUCUUACCAGAAAGGGACGGCUAACUACGUG
rnacentral:rRNA from 1 species